AUUUUCAUCUCAUAUAAGAACAUUAUCCUUGACGUAAUAUAAACAGUGGGGUUGUUGUUGGCGAGACCUUACCACACACAGCACCAGCGGAAGAGACUGGAAGCCAUUGUUACUUAGAGGAGAUUCUAGAAAAAAAAUGCAAAAAGUGACAGAAAGGUCAGUGGUGGCCUUCUUCUAUGGAAGAAGUAGCAGGGGCGGGCAUGCAGAAACAGCACUGACUUUCAGAUUCCUAGUGAGGGGUGCGAUUGCCUCAAGGUUUGGCUGAUGUUGACUUCUGGUAAUUGAGGAGACUUGUCCAGCUGGCUAGCACAGCCAUCUGUCAUGAUCGACUUCAUCAAGGUAAUUUUUCCAAUAAGUAAAAACCACCAUGGAAUAGUGAAGGGAUGCACUGGGGCAAAAGCCCAUGUUUCUCAUGAUGUACUCAUCGUUUUGUUUCAGAGACUGCCUGCCUGCUGUUGUAUCAGCGUAUUUCAACAAAACCAAGCGUGUUUUUUAAAUAGCUUUGGAUUCUUUAAUUUUAGGAUUGUGAGAGAAAUUUUCUGUUGAAUGUGCAUUAUAAACAUUCCAUUUUCUGUUCUUGGAAGUUCAACUCUUCUUUUAUUCUGUGUAGUAAAGGAGUCAUCCUUUUUGUAGAUUUUGACACUUAAUCUAUUUCAAGACAAGUAUUAGAGAUGAGACAAGCCUACAGAAAAGUAGGAUGCUAUCUUUCCUCUGUAGCAUCCUUUAUCCUACAGCCCUACCUCUCCUCAGUUUCUCCAUGUUUCUUGCCAUCGCAUUACAUAUUUAGGGAAGGGCACGAUAAAUCUAUUAUUUCUGAGAUCCUGUUUUUCUAGAGAUUACUGAUAUUCCAAGAAGGCCCACAUUUUGAAAGUAAAGUAAGAAAUAAAUAGCAAAGUGUAAAAUUUCAGGCAAUGAGAAUCACAAUGAAGUCCUGGCGAAGUGUUUCCUUGAAUCACCUCCUGGCAUCAGGUUGGGGACGUGUGAGACCUGCUCCAAGAUCAAGAGGUGCUGAAAGAAUUGUUAGUUUGCUUUAAACCCCACCCCAUCCUCUCAUUCAUAUUUGGAAACUUUGAUGGGGUUCACAGAAUGUAUUUUUGUUUCCUUAUUUGCUAAAGAUGAAAAAUAAUUUGUCAGUACGUCUUCUAGGAGUCUAGCUAGCACUGGCUUGUUGAUGAAACAUUCCCAGCUUUGUCUAAGAAUCUGGAGCAAGGAAGAGAGAAGAUAGGUCUAGGCUGAGGGAACAGUGGCCACACGAUUCAGAAUCCCCAGAAUUAUUCAGCAGGAUUCAGGAAUUACCAACAUUGGGAACAGGUGAAACUUAGGAACUAGAAAUACCAAGAGAAGCAUCUGAAUAGCCGUGGACCCUUGGAGAGUAGUUGUGGACCCUUAGAGAAUAGUUAAGAGUAUCAUAUUAUGGAAGGAGAUACCCCCACACACACAUAUGCCAUAUUAUCAGAGGCCAAAUGAGGAUGGCAUGGAUACAUUUAUGUUUUAUAGGAGAAUGGAUGAUGGUGUAAAGAGAGGAGUCUUAAAGACCAAAAAGUUGGGAAACAAAUUGAGAUCACUGAGGUGACAAAUGAAAAACAUGAGAAGACAUGGAAAAAAACCAUCCACAGGGGAAGAAGAAUUCUGUAGACAGAUGGAGAAGACGUGGAUGGAGAGUUCCUCUGCUCUCUACCCUACCCCUAACAACACAUCCUGUCAGCUGUGAGACUGAGAGAGCCUGGCUGUGCUGUCCAGGAGCUAACAUACGUGGAGAGUAACGCUUGACCCUGGGUACCAGUGUGUCUCGUUGAAAAGAGAUGACGCUUUCAGUGUGUCUGUCUCAGGCAGUGUGUGCAGAGAGGAUGUGGGCCAGUGAGUAGUGGGAGGACACUUGCCCUGAAUUUAAGGGCUCAGAAGGGCAGAAGCCAGAGCAGGAAGGUCCUCAUGACAUAGGUCCUUGUGUCACCCUUGCUGGCACCUUUCCCUUCCUGAUCAGGAAGGCAAACUUUUGUGGACUAGGAGCCAAUAUCCCCAGCUAAGGAGAAAUAGGAAAGCAAUGAAAUCCUAAGACGACUUCUUUGGGAUGUCGACCAAGGAACAAAUUAAAAAAUUUCAAAACUAGUUGCAUCGGAAAAUAAUUUCUAAGAUAUUUGGAGGAGGGGGAAAAUGGGAAGAGGGAAGAUUUAGAGCUGCAAGCAGUUUCGUUCAAUGGCAGCACUCCUUCCUGAUAAAAUUUUGAAUGCUGAUAAGGAGAUCUGCGAGGGAGUGUUUUUGCCAGGACUGGGGACAAAGAGCCCAUUGAUAGGCUUCUCAAGUUGCUAGGCAAUGACUGAAUGACCGUGAUAAACUUCAGCUAGGCAGCACUAAAGAAAUGUUCAUGCAUUUAAUGCCCGGUGCAUUAAGCCGGGGACCUCCACGGGAAAGCAGCCUUCCCUGGGCACUUGUGAUUGCGUGGACGUAGUAAAUAAAUCAUCCAGAAUGUCAUUAUUUCCCCUCUCAAAGACAUAGUGCCAAAUCCUCAUACUCUUUGCACUAAUAUUACAAUAUCUACCAUGUUGGAAAAUAAAGAAAAUUAUUUUCAUUCAAUAUCUUUUCCCCAGACAACAACCCGUUCAAUACAUGUUAGAGUAAAACAGAUGUGUGUUAAUAAUAAUUGGGGUAAGCGAGUGGAGGAGAAGAACCGUGGUAUCUGGUCAUAAAUUCACUAGUUUCCCAGUCUCCAACAUCGUCUUCAAAGUGAUGGCACAGACAGCAUAGGGAAGUGAUUCACCAGCAUACUGCCUCUGUCCAUAAUUUGUCCUGACAGAAUGGGGAAGGAGUUGAUACUGUCUAUAGAUGUCUUCACUCCCACAGCACAACCACUAUGCUGGUGUAGAACGUGGAGACGCUUGACUGGGGUUGUCAAUCAUGCCUCGCUAUUGGGUGUUGACCAAAAGUCUCAGUAAUAGACAACAGGGAGGCUCACAUCUGUAGCUGCAAGACCAGCCUGCUAGCAACCACUGCCUGCCUUAGUACAGCUCUGGGGGAAAGCGGACGGCAGGCUGUGGGGCAGAGUGUGCAAGCUGGGGUCUUUUGAGGAACCAUUCUCACUUCAGAAAUUCUGUCCAUCAAGUGAGGGACAGACAGAAGGAUGCCUGCUCUCUACGCGUCCAGACCUAGAAGGUCCCAGAAGUGAGUCAUUGAUUGCAUUUGUGGUUAAUUGGGUACUUGGACGUUGAUUAAACCCUAUAAUGUAGUUAUUGACUUUAACUUGGAUUCUCGCUUAUAUGACUUUAGUCAUAUGACCACACCCCCCUCAAGGCCCUUGUGGUAACUAUUUAGGCAUCACUGAGGGGCUAAGGUGCCGGAAAGCUACAUUGUAACAGAUGAAACCCGAAGGUAGCUUUCAUUUGCCUCAGUGGUCGCAGUGGUGUUUAGGACAGAAAGACUGCCUAGUUCUGCUUCCUGGAGGCCAUGGAGAAGCUGAACCUUGAUAUCCACACACCCAUGGGUUCUCCUCUCAGAUCUCCCACUCCUGGCUGGGCUCAGGUGAGGGUCUCACCUCUGAUCCCAUUCUGUGUUCCUGUCUCCCUGCUCUACCAUGCUGUGUGAUGCCACUCGCUUGUCCAAGGGUAUCAAGGGCUGGUGUGACAUUAACCCCUUCCUGACAGUUUAGUAGUCACUUUCCCUGUUCUGGAACAAAGGCAUCCUUGAGUACCCUCUUUUCUUUUGCCACUACUAUGAGGCUUCUGUCAAGAAAUGGUUCCCUGGCCCCAUGAUCAAUUAUCAGGAAGAUAAGAUGUACCAGAUUCCAUUUAAACAGACUGAAGAAUGCCACUCUGGAUAACUGGGCUAACCUUUCAAAUGACAGAAAGGAUCGCCAAGUCACAUUG